UACAGAGGUCUCAACCGUUGUUCGGAUUCAUUGGGCGUAAAGGGUGCGUAGGCGGUCGUGCAAGUCGGAUGUGAAAUCUCAGGGCUCAACCCUGAAACUGCAUUCGAUACUGCGCGGCUAGAGUGCUGGAGGGGAGACUGGAAUUUACGGUGUAGCAGUGAAAUGCGUAGAUAUCGUAAGGAAGACCAGUGGCGAAGGCGAGUCUCUGGGCCGUAACUGACGCUGAGGAGCGAAAGCGUGGGGAGCGAACAGG
rnacentral:rRNA from 1 species